UGGGCUCGUAGAUCAGUUGGAAGAUCGUCGCCUUUGCAAGGCGAAGGCCCUGGGUUCGAGUCCCAGCGAGUCCAUC
rnacentral:tRNA from 1 species